GGGUUCUUUUUUUUUUUUUUUGUGCGUUUAGAUCUAGAUUGUUCUUUAGAGUAUAAUCUAAAACUGUUUAUUUGGUAUAUUUUUUGUUGUUUUUUCAUACUUUCAGAUGAACAUUAUUUUUUACGAUUUUUCAUUUCUUUUUUUCCUUUUAGAUCUGAACAUAUUUGUUUUUGUUUGAUUUUUUUUGUCGUGUUUUGUUCUUGUUUUUGUCUCGUUUUAUCUUGUUCUUAUUGUCUCCAAUUUUGUUGUUUGAAGUUUGAAAUUUUGAGAUCUGUACAACAACUAUUUGGUUUUUCACUUAUUUGGUUUUUCGGUUUUUUUUUUUUUUAAUUUUUUUAUCUGAUCGAAAUUUUUGGUUUGUUAUUUGGAUCUGUGGGUUUCUCGGUUGAAUCUAUUGUUUGUUGGGUGUCCCUCACAUCGCCGCUCACAUCCGCAGCAAAUGGCCACUCGUGGGAGCGCACGGCCACGCCGGAAGCACACAACAACAAAGCAGAAGAUGAAAUUUCAGAAGAUUGAAUUUGUAUAUGAUGCGUUAAAUUUUUUUGUUCGGUGUACUCUCUGUAAAUAAAGAUGUAAAUAUGCAAACAUAGUUUUUUUCUUUCGAUUUUUUUUUUUUGUUGUAAUACAUAUACAUAUCAUCUAAUUACAUAAUGUAACAAAUUCAUUCAUUCAUACAAGACAGUUAAUUUUUGCAAUAUACUGAGGAAAACAAUAAAAACGUACCUACAAUUCAAUUGCUGA